rnacentral:lncRNA from 1 species
UUUCUUCUGUAUUAUGCCUUAAUAUUUAUCCUGUGUGUUUCAUGCUCAGGGGACUUUGGACUUGCUAAAACUUUAAAAGCAGAUGAUUUGGCUUCUUCUGUAUGUACUACUUCACUUUAAUUUUGAGUACCUCAAAAGAGUUUUUUUCACAGCAAAGCAUAAGCCCAUCAUGUGAUGUACAGAAAUUCAGAAACAAUACCUUAGUUCAUUAAUGACUGGGAGAAAAUAUAAAGAAGAGACCUACUAUUAUUAAAACCCCUUCUAAAAAUACAAUUAAUUGAGGUAGGUGAAUGAAUCUCUAGUCCUCCACAUACCUAAACCAGUUGGUGGGAGUUACAGGUUGCCAGGUUGUUUUAAUUAUAUGUUACAAUAACAUGAGUCAAUCUUCUUUGUCUUCAAUAAAGUUUUAUGAUUGGGUUUAUUUUCUUCUGU